rfam:Nodularia spumigena CCY9414 1099428179703, whole genome shotgun sequence.
AAAACUAAAUAAGCCAAGCCGGAGACAGCAGGAGCCAAAAGCUCAAAUAUCCUGCCGAGGUUAAAGCUCUAAUUGCCUGAAGUGCCACCCAUUGAGGUGUGAGUACUAACGUAUUAUGAGUUUUCCUAUGAAACCCCGGCUCGGAUAGCUGGGGUUAAUUGUUUUUACA